CAUCAUUGACUGCAGUCCUGCCAUGCCACCUGGAAUAAAAGAGGAAUAUUAAAUAUGGACACUUCAACAUUACAGUUUGGAAGAAGCCUAUUUGGAACACUUUUAAGCAAAGAGAACAUUGAGCCUCCACAGCAUGGAAAAAUAUGACAUUUGAAUCCAAGACCAUAUCAUUGAACUGCCCUGUGAUCUUUGGCUGCAGGUUGGUAUACAAAUUUAUUAAACAAAACAAUGAAUCAUAGUCUCAUUAGAAAAUACUGCUUUCUUUUCAGAGAGACAAUCAAGACCUAUUAUCUCUACCACAUGUUUCAGCUUCAUCUCUUAAAUAGGGUCAAACACAAUUUUCUGGAGUGAUUCCAAGGGAAGUAGAAAAAUACUGUUUGUGACUUUUACAGGACAUGUCUAUGAAAAUGAUGUUUUAAAACCAAAUUUACAUACAGCUUUCUCUACAUGGUGAUGCUCAUGUAGUCUAUUUUUAACAUAGGAAUUCAUAAGCACAAAAUAUUAUUUGUUUUUACAACUGGUCCAGAAUUGGGGCUUCUAAAGUUAUGCAACUGAUUAAAUUGGAGAACAUAAAAUCCAUGCAACUGUAAUUAUUCUCACCUUUGAAAAGUCCUUUUAUGCCUCCCAUCUUUUUCACCAUUUGUGCAAAUUUUGUGUACUGUGUCAGGAGUUCUUGAACAUCUCUAGUUGAAACACCAGAACCUCUUGCUACUCUUUGGAUUCUUCCUGGUUGUUUACUGAAAACUUUGGCCCCGUCUGUACUAUCAAGUUCUACAUUAGAGAAGCCAUGGGAAAAUAAACAAUUUAUUGUACACUGUUAAAAUGCUGAUGAGUCAAUUACAGGUUUUUUAGAAGGGCAACCACUCAAAAUUCUAUACUAAUAGCUUAGUAUUUUAGUUUUAUAAACAGUAAAGAUUAGGUAUAAUUCAUUAGGGCUUUUAUUCAAUGUAGUAAGUACACUUCAACAGAUCGGUCACUCAGUUGCUCAACUGUAGGAAACUUUACCUUGAUCAUUCAUACUGUCCAUUAUUGUCAUCAGUUUCUUUAGCCUUGCCAUUGAUUCCUGUUCGUUGCCUUUACUCAUAAAAUCUGUUCCGAAACCUGGGAUCAUACCCUACAACAAUUAUAAGUAAAAAUUAAAUGCCAUUUUCAAAUAUAUGUAGCAUUUUAGUUCAGACUGAAUUUUAAUGUUUUAGCGCAGAAUUUUCUGAACUCAGAAGAAAAAAGAAUCUUAUCAGAUUGCAAAAGAGAA